CAGGGAGACAACAAAAUGUUUAAUAUUAUUAUUUUGUCACCUUAGGUCGAUCGGUAUCUCACGUUCUUAAUUUAUUAAGAAUUUCAUUUCCUAAGUUUUUCUAGGUCACACCCAUUAUUUUUCCUGGGCCAUUAGCUCAGGUGGUUAGAGCGCACCCCUGAUAAGGGUGAGGUCCCUGGUUCAAGUCCAGGAUGGCCCAUAUCUCUAUGUUGGGGGUAUAGCUCAGUUGGUAGAGCGCCUGCUUUGCAAGCAGGAUGUCAGCGGUUCGAGUCCGCUUACCUCCACUGAUUACCACCUCUUCCAUAAUCUGUAGAAAGGAAAUGUUUUGAGUUUGUGGAUCAAAUCUGAACGAAUCUAGCUUCCUAAUAAAAUCAUUAAGAUGCUGGACUCAUUGAAUUAAUUUCAUUGUUUUCAGAGAACCUUGACAACUGCAUAGAUUAUUUUUAAAGACAAUAAGCAUCUUUAAUGAUGCAGAUUUAUUAUUUGUGCAAAUGCAUUAACAACAAUUCUAUUAAGCUGAUGCUUCAAUUUUGAAGUUAUU
rnacentral:tRNA from 1 species